rnacentral:misc_RNA from 1 species
CGAAAGCGUUUUUUAAACAGCGCAAAAACCCACUGUGAACAUACCUGUUUGUUGCUUCGGCAGGCGGCCCCAGGGCGGGGCCAGCAGCCUGUAUUUUUUUUCAGGCGCCUGCCGGAGGCCACUUCAAACUCUUUUGUAUACGUACUGUCUGAGCCUAAAACAAAAAUACGUUUA